AGUAGAAUAGAUUGCUCAACAUUAGAGACGAUCGCUUCCCCUAGGUGAAUCGAGUUCUGACCUAGCUACGACUGGUUUUAGUCGAUUCGCGUGGACUUUAAUGCGUUUUCUUGUUUGUGUCCUCAACAAUAUAAAUUUUGAAACCUGUUUGUUUGACGAAACGAUAGGGUCCUGUAUAUUUUGGUUGAAUUUUACGUUUUAUUUUUGGCGGUGUGUAAACUUGAUUAAUAAACACUUGAUCGUUAAUGGAGAAUAUAUGCUGUUUCGUUUCCGUCGCAUUCGCUGGUGUUUUAACUUCCGUAUUAGAUGGUGUGGUUUCGUCAUUU
rnacentral:lncRNA from 1 species